GCCUACGGCCACACCACCCUGAAAACGCCCGAUCUCGUCUGAUCUCGGAAGCUAAGCAGGGUCGGGCUUGGUUUAGUACUUGGAUGGGAGACCGCCUGGGAAUCUCGGGUGCUGUAGGCU
ensembl:rRNA 5S_rRNA 5S ribosomal RNA